CCUCUCAGUCGCCUGGAAGCAGAAGAAUGGCGUGUUGGUGUGUAAAGGUUACUGGUAGAAAUAGUGAACAUAUCAGCACUGUUUACAGAACAAUGGUGUUAAUAAAGAGCAGUAUUAGAUGAAGUAACUGCGUCACGAGAGACGGAACCCGAAGCCCGAGCUGUGUGGCUAACGCAGCUAUCAGAACAAUGGCCUGAUGCUAAUGUUUCUGCGCCGAAAUGACGAAAUGCUGGCUCCCCUAUUGAAGGAACAUCAUGGCAACGUCCUGUUAGCGAUGGGAUAAAGCUGCCAACCAGCUGCCUUGCCUGUGGGGCUAAAGGCAGGUGUGACCGAGCUGCUCCCUGACAGUCGUGCUGCAGACGGACUGGAGCAGCAUGUGGAGCCUUUGGCCUGCAGGGGGCAGUAAUCGCCUGUACGGAGCUCAGACUGACUGCAGUGUAAUCCUACCAGGCUGCUCUGGAUGAGUGGAUGCUUCCCGUCUGUCCACCUGCUGGGAUACAACUGAGCGACUCAAUCAUCAAUAUAUCAGAUCAUCUCUUCUCAGCCUUACUGAGGCUGAAGCUGCAACUACACAUUGUUUUCAUGACCUGUAAUCCUCUACCUUUAUAUUUGAAGUAUGCGUGAAGUCUGUAGAACUUAAAGAACCCCAAACACUUUCAGAUAGUUGGUUUACAAAAUCAGACAAAUCUUACUUGAAGCUGCUCAAAUGUGAAAAUAAUUACAAUUAUUUAAGCUGUAAAUGGAACGUUUUAAUGUUGAAAGUUGGUGCUAAAUGUUUCACCUACAUUGGAAUUAACAGGGGAUUAGAAGCUUUAAUAAAAUGUUUUAAAAAAAAAUCUGUUUUAUGAGCAAAAUUGAUCCUGAAUUGUGUUUAUAUGUUUUGAAUAAAAUUCCAUCUUGCUGCACAUUAA